rnacentral:snRNA from 1 species
UUCCUGUCUUCAAAGGAAU